rnacentral:lncRNA from 1 species
CGACUCUCUCUUCCUCUCCGACCUCGUCACCUUCUUCCGGCCAUAACUCCUCCAUCCGGCGACGGAUUUUGACGUGUAAGAUGUCGUUGGAAAGCUCUCUUCCUUCUCUUGAUUUCUGGGUUCGUUUCGUAGCUUAAUAUGAACUGUGGAAGGUGCAGCAACGAGAAGAAGAUGACGGUCACUGUAGCAUUUUUGAGGCAGCGUCGAUAUUUUCCGAUUCCGGCCACCAACCGGCGUGCCACCGGUCACCAGAGGAGCGCCUCCUCCCUCCGAGCACCCUAGC